rnacentral:rRNA from 1 species
GACGAGCGCUGGCGGCGUGCUUAACACAUGCAAGUCGAACGAAGAGCGAUGGAAGCUUGCUUCUAUCAAUCUUAGUGGCGAACGGGUGAGUAACGCGUAAUCAACCUGCCCUUCAGAGGGGGACAACAGUUGGAAACGACUGCUAAUACCGCAUACGAUCUAAUCUCGGCAUCGAGGAUAGAUGAAAGGUGGCCUCUACAUGUAAGCUAUCACUGAAGGAGGGGAUUGCGUCUGAUUAGCUAGUUGGAGGGGUAACGGCGCACCAAGGCGAGGAUCAGUAGCCGGUCUGAGAGGAUGAACGGCAAAACUGGGACUGAGACACGGCCCAGACUCCUACGGGAGGCAGCAGUGGGGAAUCUUUCGGAAUGGAAGAAAGUCUGACGGAGCAACGCCGCGUGAGUGAUGACGGCCGUCGGGUUGUAAAGCUCUGUUAAUCGGGACGAAAGGCCUUCUUGCGAAUAGUGAGAAGGAUUGACGGUACCGGAAUAGAAAGCCGCGGCUAACUACGUG